GACGAACGCUGGCGGCGUGCUUAACACAUGCAAGUCGAACGGAAAGGCCCUGCUUUUGUGGGGUGCUCGAGUGGCGAACGGGUGAGUAACACGUGAGUAACCUGCCCUUGACUUUGGGAUAACUUCAGGAAACUGGGGCUAAUACCGGAUAGGAGCUCCUGCUGCAUGGUGGGGGUUGGAAAGUUUCGGCGGUUGGGGAUGGACUCGCGGCUUAUCAGCUUGUUGGUGGGGUAGUGGCUUACCAAGGCUUUGACGGGUAGCCGGCCUGAGAGGGUGACCGGCCACAUUGGGACUGAGAUACGGCCCAGACUCCUACGGGAGGCAGCAGUUGGGAAUAUUGCACAAUGGGCGGAAGCCUGAUGCAGCAACGCCGCGUGCGGGAUGACGGCCUUCGGGUUGUAAACCGCUUUCGCCUGUGACGAAGCGUGAGUGACGGUAAUGGGUAAAGAAGCACCGGCUAACUACGU
rnacentral:rRNA from 1 species